rnacentral:lncRNA from 1 species
AUGAACUGGAGUAAUUAAUAUUAUCCACCCAAUAAUCUUCUUUUCUCUUAUUGGACCUGGAACUGUGAGGAAUGUCCUAAUGUUUGCAACACUGGGGUAUACUUCUGCCUUAGGGACUGAGAAAAGGCCAGUUGACCUAAUUCUCAUCCACUUGGCAUUUUCUAAUAUGAUCAUCAUUUGUAUAACAGGGUUGAAAGAGCUUGCCACAGUGUUUUAUUUCAGAAACUUCCUAGGAGAUAUUGGCUGCAAAACUACAGUUUAUCUGGCAAGGAUGGCACGGGGUGUUUCCAUCUGUACAACCUGUCUCCUCAGUUUGGUCCAGGCUGUCACCAUCAGUCCCAGGACCACCCAUUGGACAAAACUCAAACCACAGGCCUCGUGGCACAUUCUUCCCUUUCUCCUCCUCUUUUGGAUUGUUAAUGUUCUCAUAAACUCCAACUUGCUCUCCUAUAUCAAAGGAGGCAGUGCCUUGAACAGGUCUGUGGCUAUAAUGUACAUUGGGCCCUGCUAUAUGCUACCAUCCAGACAUAUCAUCAAGUGGUUUUUCCUCUCUCUCAUGACACCUUGUGAUGUCAUCUUUCAGAGUCUCAUGGGCUGGAGUAGUGGGUCCAUGGCUCUCCAUUUGUAUAAGUACCACAAUCGUGUCCUCUACCUUCACAGCUCCAGGUUUGCAAACAACUCCCCUCUAGAAAUCAGAGCUACAUGGAGUGUUCUCAUUCUUAUUCUUCCUUUUUUUCUAUUGGGUAGAUUUCCUUCUCUCUUUCUAUACAGGUUUCACAGUGACACACGAUUCUAUACCACUAAAUAUUAAAACAUACUUAGAACUAGGUUAUGCUAGUUUUAGCCCCUAUGUUCUGAUUAGCAGAAUUGUCCAUGUUCCUAAUGCUUUGCAUGCUCACUGA